UUCGGGGUUAGUGGCGGACGGGUGAGUAACACGUGGGAACGUGCCUUUAGGUUCGGAAUAGCUCCUGGAAACGGGUGGUAAUGCCGAAUGUGCCCUUCGGGGGAAAGAUUUAUCGCCUUUAGAGCGGCCCGCGUCUGAUUAGCUAGUUGGUGAGGUAAAGGCUCACCAAGGCUACGAUCAGUAGCUGGUCUGAGAGGAUGACCAGCCACAUUGGGACUGAGACACGGCCCAAACUCCUACGGGAGGCAGCAGUGGGGAAUCUUGCGCAAUGGGCGAAAGCCUGACGCAGCCAUGCCGCGUGAAUGAUGAAGGUCUUAGGAUUGUAAAAUUCUUUCAGUAGGGACGAUAAUGACGGUACCUACAGAAGAAGCCCCGGCUAACUUCGUGCCAGCAGCCGCGGUAAUACGAAGGGGGCUAGCGUUGCUCGGAAUUACUGGGCGUAAAGGGAGCGUAGGCGGACAUUUAAGUCAGGGGUGAAAUCCCAGAGCUCAACUCUGGAACUGCCUUUGAUACUGGGUGUCUUGAGUGUGAUAGAGGUAUGUGGAACUCCGAGUGUAGAGGUGAAAUUCGUAGAUAUUCGGAAGAACACCAGUGGCGAAGGCGACAUACUGGAUCAUUACUGACGCUGAGGCUCGAAAGCGU
rnacentral:rRNA from 1 species